rnacentral:rRNA from 1 species
UACAGAGGGGGCAAGCGUUAUUCGGAAUUAUUGGGCGUAAAGGGCGCGUAGGCGGCCUGGCAAGUGGAAGGUGAAAUCCCUCGGCUUAACCGAGGAACUGCCCUCCAAACUGCUUGGCUUGAGUCCGGGAGAGGUGAGUGGAAUUCCCAGUGUAGCGGUGAAAUGCGUAGAUAUUGGGAGGAACACCAGUGGCGAAGGCGGCUCACUGGACCGGAACUGACGCUGAGGCGCGAAAGCGUGGGGAGCAAACGGGG